GGUACACGAGCUCCGCAGCCGUCCCUGACCCGGUGGCCACUCGAGGCCCGCAGCCAGGCACCCCGGCGUUCAGUCCAGGCUCCACCCCAGUGUCUGGUGUCAUGAGGCUCAACUUGGCUGCCAAGCACUACAGGCAAGAGGUGAAGAGAGGUGAGAAGCUAUCUGGAGUCCCAUCUACAGACAGGACUCACCCCCCAUGAGAACAACACGCUGCCUUCCUCCCACCAGGCUGACACAAGAAAGCUCCCAUCACCCCC